rfam:Poecilia formosa, whole genome shotgun sequence.
CACAGAUAUGGUGACAUGGUCCCAAAGACGAUUGCAGGAAAGAUCUUCGGCUCAAUCUGCUCUCUGAGUGGGGUGCUGGUAAUUGCCCUUCCUGUUCCUGUCAUCGUGUCCAAC